AGAGUCUGAAUUUCGUGAUCAGCCAUGAGUUCAUCUGAUGAGGAAUCCCUGGAGAAGCUGAGUGUGUAUUUCAGCACGUCAGAAUGGUCUCAGCUGUCAUUUUGGGAAAAGAAGAGGUACAAGAGGAUGAAAAGAAACUACCUCUUCAUGCAAUCCAUAGGUCUGUCGUCUCAAGCUCCAGAGUUCAUGAGGAAGAGGGGCGGGACUAAAAGACAGAGGGUCACGCCCCCACCA